rnacentral:rRNA from 1 species
UCCCGUAGGUGAACCCUGCGGAAGGGAUCAUUA